GACGAACGCUGGCGGCGUGCCUAAUACAUGCAAGUCGAGCGAUGAAGCUUGGUGCUUGCACCAAUUUGAAGAGCAGCGAACGGGCGAGUAACGCGUGGGGAAUCUGCCUUUGAGCGGGGGACAACAUUUGGAAACGAAUGCUAAUACCGCAUAACAACUUUAAACAUAAGUUUUAAGAUUGAAAGAUGCAAUUGCAUCACUCAAAGAUGAUCCCGCGUUGUAUUAGCUAGUUGGUGAGGUAAAGGCUCACCAAGGCGAUGAUACAUAGCCGACCUGAGAGGGUGGUCGGCCAAAUUGGGACUGAGACACGGCCCAAACUCCUACGGGAGGCAGCAGUAGGGGAUCUUCGGCAAUGGAGGAAAGUCUGACCGAGCAACGGCGCGUGAGGGAAGAAGGUUCUCGGAUUGUAAAACUCUGUUGGUAGAGAAGGACGUUGGUGAGAGUGGAAAGCUCAUCAAGUGACGGUAACUACCCAGAAAGGGACGGCUAACUACGUG
rnacentral:rRNA from 1 species